CUACCGUCAGGGUAAGAUAAGCACAGAGGCACAUCUACAGUCAGGGUAAGAUAAGCACAGAGGCACAUCUACCGUCAGGGUAAGAUAAGCACAGAGGCACAUCUACAGUCAGGGUAAGAUAAGCACAGAGGCACAUCUACAGUCAGGGUAAGAUAAGCACAGUGGCACAUCUACCGUCAGGGUAAGAUAAGCACAUCUACCGUCAGGGUAAGAUAAGCACAGUGGCACAUCUACCGUCAGGGUAAGAUAAUCACAUCUACCGUCAGGGUAAGAUAAGCACAUCUACCGUCAGGGUAAGAUAAGCACAGAGGCACAUCUACCGUCAGGGUAAGAUAAGCACAGAGGCACAUCUACCGUCAGGGUAAGAUAAGCACAGUGGCACAUCUACCGUCAGGGUAAGAUAAUCACAUCUACCGUCAGGGUAAGAUAAGCACAUCUACCGUCAGGGUAAGAUAAGCACAGAGGCACAUCUACCGUCAGGGUAAGAUAAGCACAGAGGCACAUCUACAGUCAGGGUAAGAUAAGCACAGAGGCACAUCUACCGUCAGGGUAAGAUAAGCACAGAGGCACAUCUACCGUCAGGGUAAGAUAAGCACAGUGGCACAUCUACCGUCAGGGUAAGAUAAGCACAUCUACCGUCAGGGUAAGAUAAGCACAGAGGCACAUCUACCGUCAGGGUAAGAUAAGCACAGAGGCACAUCUACAGUCAGGGUAAGAUAAGCACAGAGGCACAUCUACCGUCAGGGUAAGAUAAGCACAGAGGCACAUCUACCGUCAGGGUAAGAUAAGCACAGAGGCACAUCUACCGUCAGGGUAAGAUAGGCACAGAGGCACAUCUACCGUCAGGGUAAGAUAGGCACAGAGGCACAUCUACCGUCAGGGUAAGAUAAGCACAGUGGCACAUCUACCGUCAGGGUAAGAUAAUCACAUCUACCGUCAGGGUAAGAUAAGCACAUCUACCGUCAGGGUAAGAUAAGCACAGAGGCACAUCUACCGUCAGGGUAAGAUAAGCACAGAGGCACAUCUACCGUCAGGGUAAGAUAGGCACAGAGGCACAUCUACCGUCAGGGUAAGAUAAUCACAUCUACCGUCAGGGUAAGAUAAGCACAUCUACCGUCAGGGUAAGAUAAGCACAGAGGCACAUCUACCGUCAGGGUAAGAUAAGCACAGAGGCACAUCUACAGUCAGGGUAAGAUAAGCACAGAGGCACAUCUACCGUCAGGGUAAGAUAAGCACAGAGGCACAUCUACCGUCAGGGUAAGAUAAGCACAGAGGCACAUCUACCGUCAGGGUAAGAUAAGCACAGAGGCACAUCUACCGUCAGGGUAAGAUAGGCACAGAGGCACAUCUACCGUCAGGGUAAGAUAGGCACAGAGGCACAUCUACCGUCAGGGUAAGAUAAUCACAUCUACCGUCAGGGUAAGAUAAGCACAGAGGCACAUCUACCGUCAGGGUAAGAUAAGCACAGAGGCACAUCUACCGUCAGGGUAAGAUAAGCACAUCUACCGUCAGGGUAAGAUAAGCACAGAGGCACAUCUACCGUCAGGGUAAGAUAAGCACAGAGGCACAUCUACCGUCAGGGUAAGAUAAGCACAGAGGCAC